GUGCUUGCUCUGGCAAUACAUAUACUAAAAUUGGAAUGAUACAGAGAAGAUUAGCAUGGCCUAUGCACA
rnacentral:snRNA from 1 species